UACAGAGACCUCAAGCGUUAUCCGGAUUUAUUGGGCGUAAAGCGUCCGCAGGUGGUCUGGCCAGUCAGGGGUUAAAACUUUUCGCUUAACGAAAAGAUCGCCUUUGAUACUACCAGACUUGAGUAUGGAAGAGGUUAGCGGAAUUCUCGGUGUAGUCGUAAUAAGCGUUGAUAUCGAGAAGAACACCAAAUGCGAAGGCAGCUAACUGGUACAUUACUGACACUCAUGGACGAAAGCGUGGGGAGCAAACAGG
rnacentral:rRNA from 1 species